CCUACGUGAGGCAGCAGUGGGGAAUAUUGCACAAUGGGGGAAACCCUGAUGCAGCGACGCCGCGUGAGUGAAGAAGUAUUUCGGUAUGUAAAGCUCUAUCAGCAGGGAAGAAGCAAGACGGUACCUGACUAAGAAGCCCCGGCUAACUACGUGCCAGCAGCCGCGGUAAUACGUAGGGGGCAAGCGUUAUCCGGAUUUACUGGGUGUAAAGGGAGCGUAGACGGUAUGGCAAGUCUGAAGUGAAAGCCCGGGGCUUAACCCUGGGACUGCUUUGGAAACUGUUAGACUAGAGUGCUGGAGAGGUAAGUGGAAUUCCUAGUGUAGCGGUGAAAUGCGUAGAUAUUAGGGGAACACCAGUGGCGAAGGCGGCUUACUGGACAGUAACUGACGUUGAGGCUCGAAAGCGUGGGGAGCAAACAGGAUUAGAUACCCGGGUAGUC
rnacentral:rRNA from 1 species